CAAUAGCGUAUAUUAAAGUUGUUGCGGUAAAAAAGCUCGUAGUUGGAUUUCUGUUGAGAGCGACCGGUCCAUACCAUGUAUGCGUAUCUGGCUUGCUCUCGGCAUCCUCUCGAUAGACGUUACUGCGCUUGAUUGCGUGGUGCGGAUCUCGGGACUUUUACUUUGAGGAAAUUAGAGUGUUCACGGCAGGCUUUCGCCAGAAUACAUUAGCAUGGAAUAAUACUAUAGGAUCUUGGUUCUAUUUUGUUGGUUUCUAGAAUUGAGAUAAUGAUUAAUAGGGACAAUUGGGGGCAUUCGUAUCAACACGUCAGAGGUGGAAUUCUUGGAUUGUGUUGCGACGAACUACUGCGAAAGCAUUUGCCAAGAAUGUUUUCAUUGA
rnacentral:rRNA from 1 species